AAGAAGCUUGAACAUCAUCCAGGACACUUUGUGGGUUCUAUUUAGAUGGUCAGUCAACACAAGGGAAAGACUUGAGUUACUUCCAACAGGGGUCUAUUCGUCAGUCAAAACGUUAAUCUUGAAGGAGCAAAGGUUUGCUCAUGAGCUGUCAUGCUCGCUAGGCGAAGCCCACGUGUUAUGAAAAAAAAACGAAAAAAAGAAAAAAACGAAAAAAAAAGGAAAAAAAAAU
rnacentral:lncRNA from 1 species